rnacentral:rRNA from 1 species
GUUCUUAGUUCGUGGAGUGAUCUGUCUGCUUAAUUGCGUUUCAAAUAUAUUUUAUUAUAUAACGAGUCUACAAAGGAGUGGUUCAUUAACAGACAAUCAUAUCUUUGAGCGUCUGGAAUCUACUCUAUUUGGCUCAAUUGAACGCAACGGACGUGAUCGCGAGUCCUUGUUGAACUUCAGUAUAUAUUGACUAUCCCCGUAGGAAGGGAUUGGCAAUAAUUGAAUGUUCGCUUUCUAUUAGGUGUGUAUAUAUAGUCUCAAAAUUGCAUGUAUUUGUAAUGGCGAGUAAUAUGUACUAUCCUAUAGGAAAACUCGGGCGACCGCUGUAAUAUUUCUCUUUAAAACAGAGGAAGAUUGCGGCAAUAACAGGUCUGUGAUGCCCUCAGAUGUCCCGGGCCGCACACGUGCUACAUUGAUUAGCGCAGUGCGCAUACUUUCAAUAUGAUACAUUAGAUUGGAUUGUUCUGUUGAGCUCCAUCUAAUACUAUCCGGCUUGAGAAGGCUGGGUAAUCAAUUGUAAGUGCUGGUUCCUCCUCCCGUUGAGCAUUUUAAUAAUGGCCUCUCUACAUCCCUAGCAAUAUGCCUAGUGCGAUUGUAGUUGAGCCUUGCC